rnacentral:rRNA from 1 species
UAAUACGGAGGGAGCAAGCGUUGUCCGGAAUCACUGGGCGUAAAGGGUGCGUAGGCGGGGACGCAAGUCUGUGGUGAAAACUGACGGCUCAACCGUCAGCCUGCCGCGGAAACUGCGUUUCUUGAGUGCUGCAGAGGAGACCGGAAUUCCUGGUGUAGCGGUGAAAUGCGUAGAUAUCAGGAAGAACACCGGUUGCGAAGGCGGGUCUCUGGGCAUGCACUGACGCUAAGGCACGAAAGCUAGGGGAGCAAACAGGAUUAGAUACCCUGGUAGUCCUAGCCGUAAACGAUGAGCACUAGGUGUUGGGUGGGCCGAUCCACUCAGUGCCGCAGCUAACGCAUUAAGUGCUCCGCCUGGGGAGUACGCUCGCAAGGGUG